GGCUAUUGUGUACCUUGUUGCCCUAACAUUUUUGCUUUUCCAGAAUCGUGAUGAUGCUAGGCAGUUUAUGAAAUAUCUCCAUCCUGCUCUAGGAGUUGGUAAACACUUGAUUUAGAAUUACCUGAAAGAUCAUAUGGAGCUGAUUGCCGUAUUUAUGUCCCAGAGAAUCCAAAAAACAGGUUUAUCAAUGUUUAUAAUACAUUAUUUGAUGAGUUUGUUCUUGCUCAUAUUUUUGGAUGGUGGGGUAAGGCAAUAAUG